AGUCCCGAAUUUGAAGCGUACAAAGUAAAACAGAUUAGUACGAUGUGACUCUAAGACUGCACCUAACCACCUUGGGACAGCUGUGCAAAAUUCCUGCUGACUCCAGAGGCCCAGGAUCAGGUCCAUAAUGACUGAAAGGCAGCGUGGCUCAGUUAACGAUGAAAGACAAUGCUGAUUAUUUUGCUCUGCGACGAAAAAUAGAAAUGACUAAGCUCCGAGCAGGAAAUUAAGGAGAGCGCCCGCCCGCCGCCUCAGAGGCCUGCUCGGGCCGCUCAAUCCGCGCAGGCACCGCGCCACCUGCUGGCGGCUCCGCUGCCGCCGGCCCGGCCCGGCCCGGCCCGGCCCUCUCCGGGCCCCAAACCGGCCCUGCUCCCCCUUCCUCCUCCUCAGAAACGACCGUCAGCGACUGCUUCCCACUGUAUGCCUUCCCACUGAGUGCCUUCCUACUGAAUGCCUUCCCGCACCGUGACAGAGAAAUUCCACAGUGCCUAGAUUCAUGACUGCCUGCUUCAAGACAAAACUACUCCAUGUCCUUGCAAAGUGAGUGGAUGAAGGUCUCUGAUUUCAAAUGACAACAGGCAACAGGGAAGAAAAUCUUGGAUUAUUCUGAAAUCCAAAUUCUCAUCUCAUCAUGGUGGUAUCCUUUUCAAUGGAGAUAUUGGAAUACUUAAGCCAGAUAAAACUAGACAGGAAUUACUUUGUACUUUUUGAACUCAAGUUCAUUUUACACAAGAAAUGAAGAUGAGGUUGAAGUCUGAGAUAACUUUGUAAGAAUUCUUUUAUAGGAUGACAGUAAUAAUAUGCAAUAGGCAGAGUGAUUUCUUUCCUGGAAGAACCAUCCUGCUGGGCUUCCUUCUGGGGAGUCAGCACCCACACAGAAAAACAUACAGAAUCAUAGAAU
rnacentral:lncRNA from 1 species